AAUCAACGCUGGCGGCGUGCCUAACACAUGCAAGUCGAGCGCGAAAGGGGAGUAAUCCCCAAGUAGAGCGGCGAACGGGUGAGUAACGCGUGGGUGAUCUACCUCCGAGUGGGGAAUAACCCCGGGAAACUGGGGCUAAUACCGCAUGACAUCCCUGAGUCACAUCGGGGAUCAAAGCCGGGGACCGCAAGGCCUGGCGUUUGGAGAUGAGCCCGCGUCCGAUUAGCUAGUUGGCGGGGUAACGGCCCACCAAGGCUUCGAUCGGUAGCCGGCCUGAGAGGGCGGACGGCCACACUGGGACUGAGACACGGCCCAGACUCCUACGGGAGGCAGCAGUGGGGAAUUUUCGCAAUGGGGGAAACCCUGACGAAGCAACGCCGCGUGGAGGAUGAAGGCCUUCGGUCGUAACUA
rnacentral:rRNA from 1 species